rnacentral:misc_RNA from 1 species
ACACAUUUCUUACUGUGUGGAAUUUUCUUUGCAACAUGCAAAGAGUGUGAUUAAUCAUUAAAGGAUUUCUUUUCUACAUUCCACAUUCAGACAUUUGUUGUCAGUGUUAUUGUGUUAAAAUUAAUAAAAAAGUAUAUUCUACUGUUUAUGUACCGUUUUUUUCUCAAAUGCAAUAGAAUAACUUAAUUAAUAUUUGCCAGUACAAAGUUGUAUAUAUUUCUUUUUAUUAAAUAUUGUUAAAGUGAAAUUUUAUGUAUCAAUGAUUUGUUUAAGUUCUUUUAAAUUGUUAUUGUCUCUUUUAAACCACAACAUGUAGAUCUACAUGUAUUUCUGGUAAUCUUGUCUUUCUAGUCAUACUUGUUUGUUAAAACUUUUUAUCUCUUUGUGUGAUUAAACAUUUGACCCAUUCUUAUAAUUUGUUGGGGCAAAGUAAUUUAGCAUGUUUAUGUUUCGACCAAUUCAGACCAAUACAUUGUAAUCAUGUUUUUACGAUAUGCUUUGUUUUCCAUACAUUUUCUGUUGCUUAUAUUUUUUAUUUGAUUGCAGUGUCACAAAAGUACAUGAUAAUGUACAUUUUAGUCAAGGAUUGUUGUGCAUAAAAAAUAAAAACUAAUC